ensembl:snoRNA SNORA70 Small nucleolar RNA SNORA70
UUGCAGACCAUUGCACUGAUUGUGCCCACUUCCCUCUUGGGGACUCCAUGUGCUGUGGCUACAGACAGCAGUCUCUUUGGUAGUAUAUGUUGCUUUUAUGGGUUUCUGUGGCCCGAGGGACCCUGAAGUUAGCC